rnacentral:rRNA from 1 species
GUGGGGAAUCUUGCGCAAUGGGCGAAAGCCUGACGCAGCCAUGCCGCGUGAAUGAUGAAGGUCUUAGGAUUGUAAAAUUCUUUCACCGGGGACGAUAAUGACGGUACCCGGAGAAGAAGCUCCGGCUAACUUCGUGCCAGCAGCCGCGGUAAUACGAAGGGGGCUAGCGUUGCUCGGAAUUACUGGGCGUAAAGGGCGCGUAGGCGGACAGCUUAGUCAGAGGUGAAAGCCCAGGGCUCAACCUUGGAAUUGCCUUUGAUACUGGCUGUCUUGAGUUUGGGAGAGGUGAGUGGAACUCCGGGUGUAGAGGUGAAAUUCGUAGAUAUUCGGAAGAACACCAGUGGCGAAGGCGACUCACUGGCCCAAUACUGACGCUGAGGCGCGAAAGCGUGGGGAGCAAACAGGAUUAGAUACGUGUAGUCC